AGGAUAUCUUAUCUGGCUUCAAGAUGCACUGCCGAGGAUGGAGAUCAAUUUACUGCAUGCCUUUAAGGCCUGCAUUCAAAGGGUCUGCACCCAUCAAUCUAUCUGAUCGUUUGCACCAGGUUCUCCGGUGGGCUCUUGGGUCUGUGGAAAUUUUCUUGAGCAGACACUGUCCUCUCUGGUAUGGGUAUGGAGGAGGCCGUCUCAAAUGGCUUCAAAGGCUGGCAUAUGUAAACACCAUCGUUUAUCCUUUUACAUCUCUCCCUCUCAUUGCCUACUGUACACUCCCUGCAAUUUGUCUUCUCACAGGAAAGUUCAUCAUACCAACGCUCUCAAACCUGGCAAGCAUGCUAUUUCUUGGCCUCUUUAUCUCCAUUAUCGUAACUGCAGUGCUUGAGCUACGAUGGAGUGGUGUCAGUAUCGAAGAUUUGUGGCGCAACGAACAGUUCUGGGUGAUUGGAGGUGUUUCAGCCCAUCUUUUUGCUGUCUUCCAAGGAUUCUCGAAAAUGUUGGCCGGCAUUGAUACCAACUUCACUGUCACUGCAAAAGGAGCGGAUGAUACAGAAUUUGGCGAGCUCUACUUAGUCAAGUGGACAACGCUUUUGAUUCCUCCAACAACCCUUAUCAUUCUCAAUAUAGUUGGUGUUGUUGCUGGAUUCUCAGAUGCACUCAACAAAGGAUAUGAAGCAUGGGGACCUCUCUUCGGCAAGGUGUUUUUUGCCUUCUGGGUGAUUCUCCAUCUCUAUCCAUUCCUCAAAGGUCUCAUGGGCCGCCAAAACAGAACACCAACCAUUGUUGUUCUCUGGUCAGUGCUUUUGGCCUCUGUCUUCUCUCUCGU
rnacentral:misc_RNA from 1 species